UGCCUCCACUGCGUGUUAGAUGCCUCUGCUUACUUUAUUUGAACUCCAAUGUUUUUUUCCCCCCUCUUUAGGUUUAUUAAAAACAGCUUUUGGACUAGAAGAAAAGCACUUAUAUUGGAACAGAUAAUUGGAUUCCUUUCACCCAUAGUACCACAUCCCAGAUGGCUUAAUACUGAAGAGCAUUCUAAGAAGUCCUAAAUAUGGAUCUAUAAUGGAAUGAAAGAUCCUGAGCCCAAAGCAAAGUAAAUCACUGUCCCUUAAAAAAGACUGCUUCCUCAUGAGGUGGUGUUAUGGACUGGCUGCUCUCUACGUGCCGCUGGAGGAGCGCUCAGAGAAACAACAGAACAGCCAGUGGAUGCAGUGAUAUUCAUCCUUGUCAGGUGGCACUGUUCCCAGGAAUACCGAGCAAAAUUUUGCUGAAUGAAGAAGUGAGAAUAGAACUGUAAAACUCAGCCUCAGCCUGGAUAAAAGUGCAGACUGGAAAAUCAUGCAUUAAAAAGCAUCUAGGAGAAUGAUGUGAUAAAAAUACUCAGCAGAGAUCUGCAAAGAGACUACAAUCAACUGAGCGGUAUAUUCUAGGCAAUUUAAAAAAAGGUCCUGUCCUCUUGGAAAGAACCAGGACUGAUUUAUGUACACAGUGUGUCUCAAUAAUAUCCUUUCUUUUUUGUGAAUUCAAAGACAUUAGAAUGGAAGAGGACUAAUUCCACAGAGCGAACAGCUGUAAAAAUCGUUGUACCGUAGGAUGAAACAAAGAAGUCUGUAGGUCAUCUGUCUCUUCUCACAUAGCCAUUGGUUUGUUUGAUUUAGAGCACCAUGUUUUCUGGGGCACUUUGUUCAAUAUGGAUCUUGAAGGCAUGCAGUAAAUCCUGUCUACCUUCAGGUAAUGAAAUUGAGAAAAAUAA